rnacentral:rRNA from 1 species
UACGAAGGGAGCUAGCGUUGUUCGGAAUUACUGGGCGUAAAGGGCGCGUAGGUUGUUGCGUAAGUGAGAUGUGAAAUCCCCGGGCUUAACCUGGGAACUGCAUCUUAUACUGCGAGACUAGAGUACGGUAGAGGGUAGUGGAAUUUCCGGUGUAGCGGUGAAAUGCGUAGAUAUCGGAAGGAACGACCAGUGGCGAAGGCGACUACCUGGACUGAUACUGACACUGAGGCGCGAGAGCGUGGGAGCAAACAGG